rnacentral:rRNA from 1 species
UACAGAGGGGGCGAGCGUUGUUCGGAAUUACUGGGCGUAAAGGGCGCGUAGGUGGCCUGUUAAGUCGAACGUGAAAUCCCCGGGCUCAACCCGGGAACUGCGUCCGAGACUGGCAGGCUUGAAUCCGGGAGAGGGAUGUGGAAUUCCAGGUGUAGCGGUGAAAUGCGUAGAUAUCUGGAGGAACACCGGUGGCGAAGGCGGGUCUCUGGGCAGUAACUGACGCUGAGGAGCGAAAGCGUGGGGAGCGAACAGG